ensembl:lncRNA
GUUAUCGCGUGACUAAGCGCCAUUUGGAAAUCGACCUGCUACAGUUGCUAGCCCGCAAAUCAUUUCGGUAGCGUUAGCAGUAGACGGUGUAAGAAAUACUACCGCCGUCCUUCCAGAAGAAAGAAAAGAGCCGUGUUAACUCGGGUGUUCGAUAACCUCUCACAUCGAGACGCGUGUCAUUUCCAAAAGGGUCAUGGCUGACGAUUUUGAAAUUGAGGCAAUGCUGGAGGCUCCAUUUAGAAAGGACUAAAAGAAACUCAACUUAACACAUCCCUGUUCAGUUGCUACAAGGGCGAGAUGUGUGACAGAGGUGGCAUCGAGCUCUUACAGUUCAAGAACGAAAAUGGGUGAAGAUCACUGGACUGACACCAACCACACAGGAUCUCUUUAGUGGCCGUUGACCAUGCGUAGCCUCAGGCUUAGGCUCAGAUAGUGGCAUGGGUACGGCUCAUUAGAUUGGUGGGGGGCGGGAGAGGUUGGACCCCAGUAAUGUCAAAGUUCACUGAACAAUUCUAUAAUGUUGGUAGUCUCAUAAAAUGUCAUUUUAUCCGAGUUGCAGUGAGCACUCAACAAUACUGCUAAAAUGAUG